AUGCGCCGGACGACCACCCAGCGCUGGGGGCCGCGCCACCGCACCGACCAGGCGCCAGGCUCCGGCGCCGUCGCGGUCGACCGCCUCAGCGCCCUCCCGGACGCGCUCCUGCACCACAUCAUGUCGUUCCUCAAGGCGUGGGAGGCGGUGCCCACCUGCGUGCUCGCGCGCCGGUGGCGCCACCUUUGGGAGUCCGCGCCCUGCGUCGACCUCCGCUUGCGCUACAUGAGCCGCGACGGCGACCCUCCGCAAGAGUUUUGCGACUUCGUGCACCGCCUCUUCCUCCUCCGCGAUGUGUCGGCGCCGGUGGACACGCUCCGCCUGCAGCCCAGCGACGAGGACGCCGGCUUCAACGAGGAGGACGCUAGCAUCUGGAUCAGGACUGCUCUCAAGCGCAAGGCGCGGGUUAUUCAUCUUGCUAGGCAUCACAAGAGAGCCGCGUCGUUGGACGGUGUGCCCUUUGUUUCGUGCCACCUCAAGAUCUUGAAGUUGUCCUACGCCAGGCUCGAUGACAGUAUCCUCCGACAGCUUUCUGCUAGUUGCAAAUCCUUGGAAGAACUGGAUCUCAAGGAUUUCUUGGUGACAGGCCCUGGGAUUGUGUCCGCCUCUUUGAAGACCUUAAUCAUGCUUAAGUGCAAGUUCAAUUCGGCCUUCUCCAUUGCAGCUCCCAACCUCGUACUUCUGUGCCUCAUCACACCUUAUGUCCAAGUUCCGUCAUUUACCGACUUUGGGUCACUGGUCACAGCCACUAUCUUACUUGAUGACCAUUUCUUGAGCAAUGAAUUUGAACACAUCAGCGAUAAAGAUGACUGUGAUGAAACUACUGAUGACGACGACAAUGAUGAUAAGAGGAGCUAUAGGAUUCAUGAUGCCUCUUCCUUGAGUGAUGAUGAUGAUGCUUUUGACAAGUUUGGAUAUGGAUAUGGUUUUCCUGAAGAAAGAUAUGGGCACAGUCGUUACAAGGAUAAUUAUAAUUAUGGUAGCGAUAUUGAUAGUGAUGACAAUACCUAUGAAUACGGUGAGAUCGCAAAUGAUGCAAAGUAUGGCUAUAAAGGUAAAGGGAAGCUUUCCAGUGAAGAUGGUAACUAUGGAAAAAUCAGUGGUGGAAAUUAUACUAGUAAUAAUAUUCUAGGUGGCCAUCAUAUGCUUGAGAGCCUUUCCACAGCUACGAGUUUGGAGUUGUUAACUGAUGCUGGAGAGGUAUAG
rnacentral:rRNA from 1 species